CGGGCUAAUAAGGUCCCGCAGGGUAGUAAGCGUGGUAGUAAGCGACCCAGCUGGAGCCAGGGCGUGACCAUGCCCAAGCGGCAGGGGACUGCUUUACGGAAGAAAGCUGUUACCUGAGUCAUGACGCUAGAAUGCCCCUAACUACCCAGCAGCCGGUAAUACGUAGGGUGCAAGUUAUGGAAUUCUGGGUAAGCGUGCGCAGGCGUUUUAAGACAGAGGUGAAAUCCCGGGUCAACCUGGAACUGCUUUGUGACGCAAGGCUGGAGUGGGCAGAGGGGGAUGAAUUCCGCGUGUAGCAGUGAAAUGCGUAGAUAUGGGAGAACACCGAUGGGAAGGCAAUCCCUGGGCCUGCACUGACGUCAUGCAGAAAGCGUGGGGAGCAAACAGGAUUAGAUACCUGGUAUCCACGCCUAAACGAUGUCAACUGGUUGUGGGUUUAACUGAUCAGUAACGAAGCUAACGCGUGAAGUUGACCGCCUGGGGAGUACGGCCGCAAGGUUGAAACUCAAAGGAAUUGACGGGGACCCGCACAAGCGGUGAUGAUUGUUUAAUUCGAGAACGCGAAAAACCUUACCCACCUUGACAUGUACGGAAUCCUUUAGAGAUAAGGAGUGCUCGAAAGAGAGCCGUAACACAGGUGUGCAUGGCUGUCGUCAGUCGUGUCGUGAGAUGUUGGGUUAAGUCCCGCAACGAGCGCAACCCUUGCCAUUAGUUGCUACGAAAGGGCACUUUAAUGGGACUGCCGGUGACAAACCGGAGGAAGGUGGGGAUGACGUCAAGUCCUCAUGGCCCUUAUAGGUGGGGCUACACACGUCAUACAAUGGGUGGUACAAAGGGUUGCCAACCCGCGAGGGGGAGCUAAUCCCAUAAAGCCAGUCGUAGUCCGGAUGCAGUCUGCAACUCGAUGCGUGAAGUCGGAAUCGCUAGUAAUCGUGGAUCAGMAUGUCACGGUGAAUACGUUCCCGGGUCUUGUACACACCGCCCGUCACACCAUGGGAGCGGGUCUCGCCAGAAGUAGGUAGCCUAACCGUAAGGAGGGCGCUUACCACGGCGGGGUUCGGACUGGGGAAGUCGUAACAAGGGCUGAGG
rnacentral:rRNA from 1 species